GCCGCGGUAAACAAACAGGAGAAGCUUCGGCGGGGGCCGAGAUGUAGUAUAAACGUUAAUGGAUGUCCAGGGCGCGCCGAUGCACCGGCGGCUGGCCAGAGGUACUAGGGAGGCGCUGGCAGGAGCCCUGGCGAAGAUGCACCUUCCCCAGCCUGGAAAGGCCCCAUAGGAGCUGCCCCUAUUCCAGUGAAAUAAGCUUCAGCUGCAGUUGCUAAAAGAUCCUGACUCUCCCCAGCCAUUGAAAUCCCCGCCAGCUGAGACAGAGCAGGGAAGAUUAGCCCUGAGCUAACAUCCACUGUCAAUCCUCCUCUUUUUGCUGAGGAAGACUGGCC